UUGUCACGCCAGUGGCAUUGCCCGGUAGCUACGUUCGGAAUCGAUAACCGCUGAAAGCAUCUAAGCGGGAAGCGAGCCUCAAGAUAAGCUGUCACUAGCACUUAGAGUGCUCUGAAGGGUUGUUGGAGACUACAACGUUGAUAGGCGGGGUGUGGAAGCGUAGUAAUGCGUUGAGCUAACCCGUACUAAUUGCCCGUGAGACUUAACCAUACAACACCCAAGGUGUUUGG
rnacentral:rRNA from 1 species